GCCCCUGCAACAUCAAAUAGGAAUUAUUGACUAGAAAACUUUCGCUAAAAAUACAAACUGUAAUAAGAAUGUGGCAUUCGGAUUAACUAAAUGUUUUGUUUUGUGUCUUUUUUUUCUUUCUUUCUUUUUUCUUUUUUUGGCCUUGGGAACCUGCUCAUUUUCAUUCUGGAACUGUUGUCUGGAAUCAGUUAUCUUUAGUCAGCUUUUCAGUGACCUGUGAAUAGGACUUAAACAAGGGAUAUAGGAUUUCCUAUCUGCUGGAAAUCCUAGUAAUUUCCAUCACUCUUCCAUGGUUGUUCUCUGAAGAUGGUGAUGAAUCAAUGACCUUUCUGGGACAGGCAGCAGAAAACCAUCGCAGGAUGGAGCUUAACUCUGGGAUGGCCAGGACAAUUUGAGCAGCAAUCUGGUUUGAUGAGGGAAUUCUUGGAAGGUUUGAGUGACUUGUCCUGUAUCCCUUAGUGAGCUAGCGCAUCUGCAGUAGAAUGAACAGAUGGUUCCCCCGUCUGGCUAGGGAUUUACUCAGCCUUUUAUGUCUGAGAAUCAUAAAAAAAGCUACAGGCUAGAUGUGGGGAUCCCUGAAGAAAUUAGGGUAGCAUUGCAUAGGAAGGUGGAUGGAAAGCUCUAACUUAUCCACAAAUGGGGCUUUAAUUAGCAUUUUGUGUUUCUAAGGUUGGAAAAAAAAUGGUGAACAACUGCUGACCAUGUUGGAUGCAUAUACAAAGAAAGGAGGCAGUUUGAGGUUUAGUUGAUAUGAGGGAUAGAUGCCCAGUGCAAUUCUGAGACCGCACUCCCAGGAGAUGGGUGGGACUUGACUGACAGGGUGAAGCCACGCACAUCUCCUUUCUGGACAGUGUAAACC
rnacentral:lncRNA from 10 species